rnacentral:rRNA from 1 species
UAAUGGGUGAUGGCGUGCCUUUUGUAGAAUGAACCGGCGAGUUACGAUUUGAUGCAAGGUUAAGCAGUAAAUGUGGAGCCGUAGCGAAAGCGAGUCUGAAUAGGGCGUUUAGUAUUUGGUCGUAGACCCGAAACCAGGUGAUCUACCCUUGGUCAGGUUGAAGUUCAGGUAACACUGAAUGGAGGACCGAACCGACUUACGUUGAAAAGUGAGCGGAUGAACUGAGGGUAGCGGAGAAAUUCCAAUCGAACCUGGAGAUAGCUGGUUCUCUCCGAAAUAGCUUUAGGGCUAGCCUCAAGUGAUGAUUAUUGGAGGUAGAGCACUGUUUGGACGAGGGGCCCCUCUCGGGUUACCGAAUUCAGACAAACUCCGAAUGCCAAUUAAUUUAACUUGGGAGUCAGAACAUGGGUGAUAAGGUCCGUGUUCGAAAGGGAAACAGCCCAGACCACCAGCUAAGGUCCCAAAAUAUAUGUUAAGUGGAAAAGGAUGUGGCGUUGCCCAGACAACUAGGAUGUUGGCUUAGAAGCAGCCAUCAUUUAAAGAGUGCGUAAUAGCUCACUAGUCGAGUGACACUGCGCCGAAAAUGUACCGGGGCUAAACAUAUUACCGAAGCUGUGGAUUGUCCUUUGGACAAUGGUAGGAGAGCGUUCUAAGGGCGUUGAAGCAUGAUCGUAAGGACAUGUGGAGCGCUUAGAAGUGAGAAUGCCGGUGUGAGUAGCGAAAGACGGGUGAGAAUCCCGUCCACCGAUUGACUAAGGUUUCCAGAGGAAGGCUCGUCCGCUCUGGGUUAGUCGGGUCCUAAGCUGAGGCCGACAGGCGUAGGCGAUGGAUAACAGGUUGAUAUUCCUGUACCACCUAUAAUCGUUUUAAUCGAUGGGGGGACGCAGUAGGAUAGGCGAAGCGUGCGAUUGGAUUGCACGUCUAAGCAGUAAGGCUGAGUAUUAGGCAAAUCCGGUACUCGUUAAGGCUGAGCUGUGAUGGGGAGAAGACAUUAUGUCUUCGAGUCGUUGAUUUCACACUGCCGAGAAAAGCCUCUAGAUAGAAAAUAGGUGCCCGUACCGCAAACCGACACAGGUAGUCAAGAUGAGAAUUCUAAGGUGAGCGAGCGAACUCUCGUUAAGGAACUCGGCAAAAUGACCCCGUAACUUCGGGAGAAGGGGUGCUCUUUAGGGUUAACGCCCAGAAGAGCCGCAGUGAAUAGGCCCAAGCGACUGUUUAUCAAAAACACAGGUCUCUGCUAAACCGUAAGGUGAUGUAUAGGGGCUGACGCCUGCCCGGUGCUGGAAGGUUAAGAGGAGUGGUUAGCUUCUGCGAAGCUACGAAUCGAAGCCCCAGUAAACGGCGGCCGUAACUAUAACGGUCCUAAGGUAGCGAAAUUCCUUGUCGGGUAAGUUCCGACCCGCACGAAAGGCGUAACGAUUUGGGCACUGUCUCAACGAGAGACUCGGUGAAAUCAUAGUACCUGUGAAGAUGCAGGUUACCCGCGACAGGACGGAAAGACCCCGUGGAGCUUUACUGUAGCCUGAUAUUGAAAUUCGGCACAGCUUGUACAGGAUAGGUAGGAGCCUUUGAAACGUGAGCGCUAGCUUACGUGGAGGCGCUGGUGGGAUACUACCCUAGCUGUGUUGGCUUUCUAACCCGCACCACUUAUCGUGGUGGGAGACAGUGUCAGGCGGGCAGUUUGACUGGGGCGGUCGCCUCCUAAAAGGUAACGGAGGCGCUCAAAGGUUCCCUCAGAAUGGUUGGAAAUCAUUCAUAGAGUGUAAAGGCAUAAGGGAGCUUGACUGCGAGACCUACAAGUCGAGCAGGGUCGAAAGACGGACUUAGUGAUCCGGUGGUUCCGCAUGGAAGGGCCAUCGCUCAACGGAUAAAAGCUACCCCGGGGAUAACAGGCUUAUCUCCCCCAAGAGUUCACAUCGACGGGGAGGUUUGGCACCUCGAUGUCGGCUCAUCGCAUCCUGGGGCUGUAGUCGGUCCCAAGGGUUGGGCUGUUCGCCCAUUAAAGCGGUACGCGAGCUGGGUUCAGAACGUCGUGAGACAGUUCGGUCCCUAUCCGUCGUGGGCGUAGGAAAUUUGAGAGGAGCUGUCCUUAGUACGAGAGGACCGGGAUGGACAUACCUCUGGUGUACCAGUUGUCGUGCCAACGGCAUAGCUGGGUAGCUAUGUGUGGACGGGAUAAGUGCUGAAAGCAUCUAAGCAUGAAGCCCCCCUCAAGAUGAGAUUUCCCAACUUCGGUUAUAAGAUCCCU